UACGUAGGGUGCAAGCGUUAAUCGGAAUUACUGGGCGUAAAGCGUGCGCAGGCGGCUAUGCAAGACAGAUGUGAAAUCCCCGGGCUCAACCUGGGAACUGCAUUUGUGACUGCAUAGCUAGAGUACGGUAGAGGGGGAUGGAAUUCCGCGUGUAGCAGUGAAAUGCGUAGAUAUGCGGAGGAACACCGAUGGCGAAGGCAAUCCCCUGGACCUGUACUGACGCUCAUGC
rnacentral:rRNA from 1 species